rnacentral:rRNA from 1 species
UAGGGAAUCUUCGGCAAUGGACGAAAGUCUGACCGAGCAACGCCGCGUGAGUGAAGAAGGUUUUCUGAUCGUAAAACUCUGUUGUUAGAGAAGAACAAGGACGUUAGUAACUGAACGUCCCCUGACGGUAUCUAACCAGAAAGCCACGGCUAACUACGUUCCAGCAGCCGCGGUAAUACGUAGGUGGCAAGCGUUGUCCGGAUUUAUUGGGCGUAAAGCGAGCGCAGGCGGUUUAUUAAGUCUGAUGUGAAAGCCCCCGGCUCAACCGGGGAGGGUCAUUGGAAACUGGGAGACUUGAGUGCAGAAGAGGAGAGUGGAAUUCCAUGUGUAGCGGUGAAAUGCGUAGAUAUAUGGAGGAACACCAGUGGCGAAGGCGGCUCUCGGGUCUGUAACUGACGCUGAGGCUCGAAAGCGUGGGGAGCAAACAGG